rnacentral:telomerase_RNA from 1 species
UAAGGAGUCACGAUGUCGAAUGCGUACCAUCCCGCACUCCAUAUUACUGUCUUGAGGACGGCCCAGGAGUGUAGGUUGAAAUAACCCAAAUAACUUGAAAGCGAAUAAGAGUUAUCCUUUGUCGUUUGGGUUCUCUAAAAACGUGGAAACGGCCGGGUGCGGUAUCGGAUCGUGGCUUCAAUUUU